rnacentral:lncRNA from 1 species
UAGGUGUUCAAGACCAUGUGAAAGUGAGACCUGUGUUCAUCAGAAUUAUCCUCUCACUAUCAUGGGGGGGCAGAGUCUGCUCAGCUUGAUGGUUCAGCAUGGCAGCAGAUGGAUCUGAAGGAUGCGCUGAGCCCACCUGGGGAACAGGCUCAGGCUUUCCUUCUGUCCUGCAGAGAAGCAUUUCCAUCCCUCUUGUGCUUAUUUCUCAACUUCUGAAAAGCUCUGCUCUCUCUCAGUGGGCUGUACACCCAAGUGGGGCUGGGAUGUGGAGUGAAAGCAGCAGAGAAUAACAGUGUGAUGACCAAAGGGAAAAUUAAUUUUAAGAGUGGAGUUUGAAAAAUGAAAACCUGAAGAUCAAAUUACUGGAAUAUAUCAUUUUACAUGUGUGCACACACUCAAGAGCACACUCACGAGCACACACACAAGUGCAUACACAUCUACACACACACACACAAACUCCCCAUACUGUCCCUUGGAAGCUGGCUUAACAUUUUCAAGUCAUCGUGGGAAAAAAAGUCUUCACUGUUAUAACUAGAGAGGAUGUACAUGUGAAAUUUUGUGACAUUUACGAUUUUCUGCAGGUCCACUUCAAACAUGCUAUAAAGAAGUAUAUGUUUAUGAUAUGUGGUUUUAAUUGAGAAGUUCUGCCAAAGCCUUUGGCAAAA